GCGGCCUAUCAGCUUGUUGGUGAGGUAAAGGCUCACCAAGGCGACGACGGGUAGCCGGCCUGAGAGGGCGACCGGCCACACUGGGACUGAGACACGGCCCAGACUCCUACGGGAGGCAGCAGUAGGGAAUAUUGGGCAAUGGGCGGAAGCCUGACCCAGCGACGCCGCGUGAGGGAUGAAGGCCUUCGGGUUGUAAACCUCUUUCAGCAGGGAAGAAGCGAAAGUGACGGUACCUGCAGAAGAAGCACCGGCUAACUAUGUGCCAGCAGCCGCGGUAAUACAUAGGGUGCAAGCGUUGUCCGGAAUUAUUGGGCGUAAAGAGCUCGUAGGUGGCUCGUCACGUCGAAUGUGAAACCCUGAGGCUCAACCUCAGGCCUGCAUCCGAUACGGGCGAACUGGAGUGUGGUAGGGGAGACUGGAAUUCCU
rnacentral:rRNA from 1 species